AUACGUAGCCGACCUGAGAGGGUGAUCGGCCACACUGGAACUGAGACACGGUCCAGACUCCUACGGGAGGCAGCAGUAGGGAAUCUUCCGCAAUGGACGAAAGUCUGACGGAGCAACGCCGCGUGAGUGAUGAAGGUUUUCGGAUCGUAAAACUCUGUUAUUAGGGAAGAACAAAUGUGUAAGUAACUGUGCACAUCUUGACGGUACCUAAUCAGAAAGCCACGGCUAACUACGUGCCAGCAGCCGCGGUAAUACGUAGGUGGCAAGCGUUAUCCGGAAUUAUUGGGCGUAAAGCGCGCGUAGGCGGUUUCUUAAGUCUGAUGUGAAAGCCCACGGCUCAACCGUGGAGGGUCAUUGGAAACUGGGAAACUUGAGUACAGAAGAGGAAAGUGGAAUUCCAUGUGUAGCGGUGAAAUGCGCAGAGAUAUGGAGGAACACCAGUGGCGAAGGCGACUUUCUGGUCUGUAACUGACGCUGAUGUGCGAAAGCGUGGGGAUCAA
rnacentral:rRNA from 1 species